rnacentral:lncRNA from 1 species
CUCAUUAAGAGAUUUAUUGAUUCAUUUAUGCAUUCAUUUAUUCAUUCAAUCCUUAAUUAAUUAAUUGAUUACUUCAUUGAUUCAUUAACUCAUUGAUUGAUUGGUAAAUACAUUAAUUGAUUGAUUCAUUCAUUCAAUCAUUCAUGUAUUGAUUGAUUGAUUAAUUAAUUCAUUGACACAUUAAUUUAUUAAUUAAUGAAUUAAUUAAUAUAGUGAUUUAUUGAUUGAUUCAUUUAUUUAUUCAUUCAUUCAUUUAUCCAUUUAAUCAAUCAUUGAUUAUUCAUUCCUUUAAAAAAAAAAAACAUUGAGUAUACAAAAAAAAGUUAAUAUAUAGCUAGAAUAACAUCUUAAGAAAUUGAAAUAAAUAACAAAAAAAAAUUAGAUAUGAACUAGAUAAAAACUAGAUUUUUGAGAAAUCCUUAUUUGUUUAAAUAUAUAAACCUAUACCAUAUAUUUAGUUUCAGACCAACCCCAUUUCUAUCCACCUUUAAAACUUGGCAAGUGACCUGGCUGAUGGUUAAAGUGUGGUUAUAACAUUUUCCCAGUAAAUGAUAUUGGAAAAAAAAUUACAUAAAGUAACCCAAAAUGUCAUAAAGUAACCCAUAAUCAUGAUCAUUUCCCUCUCCUGGACCGGCUUUCAGAACUGUUUAUGAGCAGAGCAGGCGAAAUCCCAUCAGAAGAGCUGUGAAAAACCACUCGGCUGAUAUUGGAUUAAGGAGAGCAGCCAAAAACGUCAAUGAACAAACCCCAGCACCUCUUGAAAGGAUUACAUCUAUUGACAUUUUGACAUUUGUAUACACAAAUUAUAUCCACGUUUUGGAGGAUUGAGAUGUUUGUCUGCCAGCCAGGAACGGGCCUUCACACUUGACUGAUGGGAGACCAGUUUCACCCCAAAAUCAGCUCACAACAAUAAAAUAUUGUUGUUGGUGCUGUUGUUAAUAGUAUUUUUAUUAUUUAAUAGUAACUUUGUUAUGCCUUGUGCUUUUUAUUGAUUUUAUUGGAUUAUUUUAAUCCAUUCAGAUAAAUAAAACAAUAAAUUGCAAUAUAAAAGUAUUAUAUUUAUUAAUAUCAAUUAUAUAUAUAUAUAUAUAUAUAUAUAUAUAUAUAUAUAUAUAUAUAUAUAUAUAUAUAUAUAUAUAUAUAUAUAUAUAUUAUAUGACUAUAAUAAUUAUUGAAAACAAUACAACAAUAAAUAACUUGUAACAAUCUUUAAACCAAAUAUUCAUUUAUUUUCUUUCUUUCUUUGUAUUUCUCAUGCUCAAAGCUUUAGUUACUCUUUUGUUUUUAUUUUUAUGUCUAAAUCUUAUUUUGUUUAUAUGUAUAAAUCUCUAUUUAUUU